UACGGGGGGGGCAAGCGUUGUUCGGAAUCACUGGGCGUAAAGCGGGCGCAGGCGGACUGUCAAGUCAGGGGUGAAAUCCUAAGGCUUAACCUUAGAAUUGCCUUUGAAACUGACAGUCUGGAGUGUGUGAGGGGGUAGCGGAAUUGCUAAUGUAGAGGUGAAAUUCGUAGAUAUUAGCAGGAACACCGGUGGCGAAGGCGGCUACCUGGCACACAACUGACGCUGAGGCCCGAAAGCGUGGGGAGCAAACAGG
rnacentral:rRNA from 1 species